GAAGCUCUGUGGGGUAGAAGGGACCUCAGUCUAAGAAGGUGACUGGCUGCACUCCAAAUAAGAGGAAUGUCCACAGAAGCCAUUUUGAAAUCUACCCAGUAGGGCUCUGGUAUUAACUGUUGUCAAAAUCUGUAAGGUGCAGUUUCCUCCCUUACUCACACAGCAGGACAAUCUGAGGAAGGCUGAGGCCAAGUAUGUGGUUUAUUUUGAGAAGAGGGGGAUCAGUAGUAUCUACAGGAGCGAAGAACACUAAGCAAUACUACUGUUAGGAGAUAGGAGAAGGGGAGGUGGAGGAGAAGGUUGAGGCUAGAAAUGGACACAUCUGUGCCAGAGGAUUUAUAUUUAUAAUCUCAUUUAAUCUCAGAAAUCCUGCAAAGUAAGAAUUAGUGGCUUCGUUUUACAGAUGAAUAAAAUUGAGCUCAAAACAGUGAGGUAUUAGCCCAAGUUCAACUAAUAUGUGCUAGAGUUAGAGCUUGGGCUCAGGUCUUCCUGAGAAGCUUCCAAACCCAGAAGCUUCUCACCACCAUUCUGCCUCUACCACCUAAGGUGUAGGAGGAGCCUGGAACUUUGAAAGGGCUGUUGGUGCUAAUGUUACAAAAGGUAUAAACCUUAAGGGAAAGGUCAGGAUGAAACUGAAGACCCUAUAAACUAGAGUGGACUCACAGGGGAAUAAUGGAAGGAACUCUGCAUCCCCAUAGAUGUUUGUCUUGUUUACAGGAGCACAUUUUAAGAGAAGAAAAACUGAUAUUCCUUGAAGGAAGCCCUAAAUCAGGGGAAGCUCUAGGGAGACUUCUGCAAGGCCCCAGUGUGACCAGGAACUCAGGGCCUGGAACCCAGUGCUCAGUUACUUCAAACCCAACCCGAAGAGUCAUCCAUGUCUCCUCUUCCUUCCUCAAGGUGAAUAAAAGCACAAGUGGAAAGAAGCAGCUGACACAUAGAUGAUGGCCAGGAUCCCACUCAGAAGUCCAUCCACGCCUAGGAGCAGAGCGGAGGCCAAGCCGAAGGUGGUGAAGACGGCAAAGUCAUUCAGCUCAGCUCCUGCCCCAGAGGGCCCAAGAUCCUGACAACCUCAGGAGAUGGUGCUAGAAUUCUCCCCUAUUUUAUGAAUGAGGAAACUACGGUUAAAAG